UCGUCUUAUGAAGCAUCAUUGAUUGGCUCGACAAGAUUACCAUUGUUAUAUCAUACUCAUCAUUUUCCAACCAUAUCCAAUCCGAUAAUGAGGAUUUCAUUUAUGCCUCGAGAUCAUUCAUUUGCCACUUGCACAUGUCCACCUAUCUAAAUGUGUGUGUUUCAUCUCUCUCCCUCUCCAACAUUAUUUUCCAUGGCCUUUUUGAUAAGUCUCAGUCUUAUACUAACCCGCCACAUGGCAUCUGAAACAACCCCAUAUUUGCAUAUGUGUUGUGUGUUUG
rnacentral:lncRNA from 1 species